GGAAUCGCUAGUAAUCGCGGAUCAGCACGCCGCGGUGAAUACGUUCCCGGGCCUUGUACACACCGCCCGUCACACCAUGGAAGUCUGCAAUGCCCGAAGCCGGUGGCCUAACCACUUAUGUGGAAGGAGCCGUCUAAGGCAGGGCAGAUGACUGGGGUGAAGUCGUAACAAGGUAGC
rnacentral:rRNA from 1 species